AGUGAACGCUGGCGGUAGGCCUAACACAUGCAAGUCGAACGGCAGCACAGUAAGAGCUUGCUCUUAUGGGUGGCGAGUGGCGGACGGGUGAGGAAUACAUCGGAAUCUACUUUUUCGUGGGGGAUAACGUAGGGAAACUUACGCUAAUACCGCAUACGACCUACGGGUGAAAGCAGGGGACCUUCGGGCCUUGCGCGAUUGAAUGAGCCGGUGUCGGAUUAGCUAGUUGGCGGGGUAAAGGCCCACCAAGGCGACGAUCCGUAGUUGGUCUGAGAGGAUGAUCAGCCACACUGGAACUGAGACACGGUCCAGACUCCUACGGGAGGCAGCAGUGGGGAAUAUUGGACAAUGGGCGCAAGCCUGAUCCAGCCAUACCGCGUGGGUGAAGAAGGCCUUCGGGUUGUAAAGCCCUUUUGUUGGGAAAGAAAUCCAGCCGGCUAAUACCUGGUUGGGAUGACGGUACCCAAAGAAUAAGCACCGGCUAACUUCGUGCCAGCCGCCGCUGUAACAC
rnacentral:rRNA from 1 species